AUUGAACGCUGGCGGCAGGCCUAACACAUGCAAGUCGAACGAGUGGCGGACGGGUGAUUAAUGUCUGGGAAACUGCCUGAAGGAGGGGGAUAACUAAUGGAAACGGUAGCUACUACCGCAUACCAUCAGAUUUGCCCAGAUGGGAUUAGCUUGUUGGUGGGGUAACGGCUCACCAAGGCGAAGAUCCCUAGCUGGUCUGAGAGGAUGACCAGCCACUCUGGGACUGAGCCACGGGCCAGACGCCUACGGGAGGCAGCAGUGGGGAAUAUUGCACAAGGGGCGCAAGCCGGAUGCAGCCAUGCCGCGUGUAUGAAGAAGGCCUUCGGGUUGUAAAGUACUUUCGGCGGGGAGGCGUUACCCGCAGAAGAAGCACCGGCUAACUCCGUGCCAGCAGCCGCGGUAAUUC
rnacentral:rRNA from 1 species